AUGAAGACAUAUGAAGAUAUAUAUGUCGUUCAGGUGAAGGGUAAGGAAAGAUAUGAAAUGUUGAAGAAAAUAAACGACAGUUUGGAAGUUAGCGACGUUAUGCCUCCAUGUGACUUGGACAAAUACAGACAGAAACUGAGUCUAUCGGCUCAAACAAGUCUGUAUUUUCACCUCCCAGUCCACUCAGAACCUGUGGAGGUGUGCGUACAACAGCCAGGCAACUUAAAACUAGGAAACAACAGGAAUGGUAAAAGAUGGAUGUGUCUGCUUUUAACUCCAUGUCACAAAGCUGACAGGUCAGUAAAAAUUCAAUGUUUUUGUUUGAGUUCUAUUCUGAGAAAAUUGUUGUGGCUGCGUGGUGUGUCCUUUUUUAUUUCGGCUCCCAUGUUAAUAGGUUUGAGCUUGCACACUGCCUGCGAUCUUAGGCUGCAACAUCAUUCAAAUGGAAUAUGCGCUCUUUCAGCAGUCGGACUGACUGAAGGAGAUCUGACCAUGCAGGUUCUGGAGCUUUCUGAGGGACCUUUUUGGGCUAAUGAAGCAGAUGAUGAACUUUCAGAGGAACACAGUGACGGCGUGCCCUCGAAGACCGUCUCAGCCUAACGCACCGGAUGUAGGACAGACAUGCUGUCUGGCCACACAACCAGAGAAAUUAACCUCAAUAUAAGGACAAGUACUGGCCCACGGACCUGACGGACCUCAGCCAAACUGCCAUGCUUCAGUCAUGUUUAAGGUAAAAAAAAAUAAAAAAAUGUUUUAACUCUCCA
ensembl:lncRNA